UUCAAAUGAUGACCUCUGUUUUGUGCUUGUGUCUGGGCCACUGAUCUACACUGUUUUGUCUUUCGUUGGA